GUAUAAAAAAAAAGUCAUAGUAUAGCAUGUCGAAAAAAAAUGAUUUUUUGUAUAGGGUAACCACCACCCCGGUCUGCCACCAGGGGUGGGGACAGUGCCUCGUCGGAAAGAAAUAAAAAAAAGUCAUAAUAUAGCAUGUCGGAAAAAAAAGUCAUAGUAUAGCAUGUCGAAAAAAAAAGAAAAAAAGUCAUAGUAUAGCAUGUCGUGCAAGCCUGGUUUUGAACUCCCGACCUUCUAGUGUUUUGUUUGGAAGAUGUACCUCUAGACCACUAGGCCUUCACCACCAUGGCCCUCACUCAUUGUUCCCCUUCAAUCCCCCCCCCAAUCAGAGGUUCGACUAUCGGCCGAACCCUCCUUUCCAGCACCUUGGUGUAGACUUUACCAGCGAGGCUGAGAAUACCCUUUUUUGAAUAGGGUAACCACCACCCCGGUCUGCCACCAGGGGUGGGGACAGUGCCUCGUCGGAAAGAAAUAAAAAAAAGUCAUAGUAUAGCAUGUCGGAAAAAAAGUCAUAGUAUAGCAUGUCGAAAAAAAAGUCAUAGUAUAGCAUGUCGAAAAAAAAGAAACAAAGUCAUAGUAUAGCAUGUCGAAAAAAAAAGAUUUUUUGAAUAGGGUAACAACCACCCCGGUCUGCCACCAGGGGUGGGGACAUUGCCUCGUCGGAAAGAAAUAAAAAAAAGUCAUAGUAUAGCAUGUCAAAAAAAAAGAAAAAAAGUCAUAGUAUAGCAUGUCGGAAAAAAAGUCAUAGUAUAGCAUGUCGAAAAAAAAUUAUUUUUUGAAUAGGGUAACCACCACCCCGGUCUUCCACCAGGGGUGGGGACAGUGCCUCGUCGGAAAGAAAUAAAAAAAAGUCAUAGUAUAGCAUGUCGGAAAAAAAAGUCAUAGUAUAGCAUGUCGAAAAAAAAAGAAAAAAAGUCAUAGUAUAGCAUGUCGUGCAAGCCUGGUUUUGAACUCCCGACCUUCUAGUGUUUUGUUUGGAAGAUGUACCUCUAGACCACUAGGCCUUCACCACCAUGGCCCUCACUCAUUGUUCCCCUUCAAUCCCCCCCCCAAUCAGAGGUUCGACUAUCGGCCGAACCCUCCUUUCCAGCACCUUGGUGUAGACUUUACCAGCGAGGCUGAGAAUACCCUUUUUUGAAUAGGGUAACCACCACCCCGGUCUGCCACCAGGGGUGGGGACAGUGCCUCGUCGGAAAGAAAUAAAAAAAAGUCAUAGUAUAGCAUGUCGAAAAAAAGUCAUAGUAUAGCAUGUCAUGGAAGCCUGGUAUUGAACUCCCGACCUUCUAGUGUUUUGUUUGGAAGGUGUACCUCUAGACCACUAGGCCAUCACCACCAUGGCCCUCACUCAUUGUUCCCCUUCAAUCCCCCCCCAAUCAGAGGUUCGACUAUCGGCCGAACCCUCCUUUCCAGCACCUUGGUGUAGACUUUACCAGCGAGGCUGAGAAUACCCUUUUUUGAAUAGGGUAACCACCACCCCGGUCUGCCACCAGGGGUGGGGACAGUGCCUCGUCGGAAAGAAAUAAAAAAAAGUCAUAGUAUAGCAUGUCGGAAAAAAAAUCAUAGUAUAGCAUGUCCAAAAAAAAAGAAAAAAAGUUAUAGUAUAGCAUGUCAAAAAAAUUUUUAUUUUUUGAAUAGGGUAACCACCACCCCGGUCUGCCACCAGGGGUGGGGACAGUGCCUCGUCGGAAAGAAAUAAAAAAAUGUCAUAGUAUAGCAUGUCGGGAAAAAAAGUCAUAGUAUAGCAUGUCGAAAAAAAAGUCAUAGUAUAGCAUGUCGAAAAAAAAUGAUUUUUUGAAUAGGGUAACCACCACCCCGGUCUGCCACCAGGGGUGGGGACAGUGCCUCGUCGGAAAGAAAUAAAAAAAAGUCAUAGUAUAGCAUGUCGGAAAAAAAGUCAUAGUAUAGCAUGUCGGGAAAAAAAGUCAUAGUAUAGCAUGUCGAAAAAAAAGUCAUAGUAUAGCAUGUCGAAAAAAAAUGAUUUUUUGAAUAGGGUAACCACCACCCCGGUCUGCCACCAGGGGUGGGGACAGUGCCUCGUCAGAAAGAAAUAAAAAAAAGUCAUAGUAUAGCAUGUAAAAAAAAAAGAAAAAAAGUCAUAGUAUAGCAUGUCGGAAAAAAAGUCAUAGUAUAACAUGUCGAAAAAAAAUGAUUUUUUGAAUAGGGUAACCACCACCCCGGUCUGCCACCAGGGGUGGGGACAGUGCCUCGUCGGAAAGAAAUAAAAAAAAGUCAUAGUAUAGCAUGUCGGAAAAAAAGUCAUAGUAUAGCAUGUCGGGAAAAAAAGUCAUAGUAUAGCAUGUCGAAAAAAAAGUCAUAGUAUAGCAUGUCGAAAAAAAAUGAUUUUUUGAAUAGGGUAACCACCACCCCGGUCUGCCACCAGGGGUGGGGACAGUGCCUCGUCAGAAAGAAAUAAAAAAAAGUCAUAGUAUAGCAUGUAAAAAAAAAAGAAAAAAAGUCAUAGUAUAGCAUGUCGGAAAAAAAGUCAUAGUAUAGCAUGUCGAAAAAAAAUGAUUUUUUGAAUAGGGUAACCACCACCCCGGUCUUCCACCAGGGGUGGGGACAGUGCCUCGUCGGAAAGAAAUAAAAAAAAGUCAUAGUAUAGCAUGUCGAAAAAAAAAGAAAAAAAGUCAUAGUAUAGCAUGUCGUGGAAGCCUGGUUUUGAACUCCCGACCUUCUAGUGUUUUGUUUGGAAGGUGUACCUCUAGACCACUAGGCCAUCACCACCAUGGCCCUCACUCAUUGUUCCCCUUCAAUCCCCCCCCCAAUCAGAGGUUCGACUAUCGGCCGAACCCUCCUUUCCAGCACCUUGGUGUAGACUUUACCAGCGAGGCUGAGAAUACCCUUUUUUGAAUAGGGUAACCACCACCCCGGUCUGCCACCAGGGGUGGGGACAGUGCCUCGUCGGAAAGAAAUAAAAAAAAGUCAUAGUAUAGCAUGUCGAAAAAAAAAGAAAAUAAGUCAUAGUAUAGCAUGUCG